rnacentral:rRNA from 1 species
AGUGAACGCUGGCGGUAUGCCUAACACAUGCAAGUCGAACGGCAGCACAGUAAGAGCUUUCUCUUACUGGUGGCGAGUGGCGGACGGGUGAGGAAUACAUCGCCAUCUACUUAUUCGUGGGUGAUUACGUAGGGCAACUUCCGCUACUACCUCAUACUUCCUACCGGUUAAAUCAGGAGAUCUUCACACCUUUCCCGUUUGAUUUAGCUGAUGUCGGAUUAGCUAGUUGGCUAGGUAACGGCUCACCAAGGCAACGAUGCGUAGCCGACCUGAGAGGAUGAUCGGCCACACUGGAACUGAGACACGGUCCAGACUCCUACGGGAGGCAGCAGUAGGGAAUCUUCCGCAAUGGGCGAAAGCCUGACGGAGCAACGCCGCGUGAGUGAUGAAGGUCUUCGGAUCGUAAAACUCUGUUAUUAGGGAAGAACAUAUGUGUAAGUAACUGUGCACAUCUUGACGGUACCUAAUCAGAAAGCCACGGCUAACUACGUG